CGGGUGAGUAAUACAGCGGAACGUGUUCUUCUGUGGGGGAUAACUCGACAAACGGGCAGCUAAUACCGCAUGAGACCUGAGGGUGAAAGCGGGGGAUCGCAAGACCUCGCGCUGGAAGAGCGGCCGAUGUCCGAUUAGCUAGUUGGUGAGGUAAAGGCUCACCAAGGCGACGAUCGGUAGCUGGUCUGAGAGGACGACCAGCCACACUGGGACUGAGACACGGCCCAG
rnacentral:rRNA from 1 species